AGCUCCAAUAGCGUAUAUUAAAGUUGUUGUGGUUAAAAAGCUCGUAGUUGAACCUUGGGCCUGGCUGGCCGGUCCGCCUCACCGCGUGCACUGGUCCGGCCGGGCCUUUCCCUCUGUGGAACCCCAUGCCCUUCACUGGGCGUGGCGGGGAAACAGGACUUUUACUUUGAAAAAAUUAGAGUGCUCCAGGCAGGCCUAUGCUCGAAUACAUUAGCAUGGAAUAAUAAAAUAGGACGUGCGGUUCUAUUUUGUUGGUUUCUAGGACCGCCGUAAUGAUUAAUAGGGACAGUCGGGGGCAUCAGUAUUCAAUUGUCAGAGGUGAAAUUCUUGGAUUUAUUGAAGACUAACUACUGCGAAAGCAUUUGCCAAGGAUGUUUUCAUUA
rnacentral:rRNA from 1 species